CCUACGGGAGGCAGCAGUGAGGAAUAUUGGUCAAUGGACGAGAGUCUGAACCAGCCAAGUAGCGUGAAGGAUGACUGCCCUAUGGGUUGUAAACUUCUUUUAUAAAGGAAUAAAACGAGGCACGUGUGCCUGUUUGCAUGUACUUUAUGAAUAAGGAUCGGCUAACUCCGUGCCAGCAGCCGCGGUAAUACGGAGGAUCCGAGCGUUAUCCGGAUUUAUUGGGUUUAAAGGGAGCGUAGAUGGGUUGUUAAGUCAGUUGUGAAAGUUUGCGGCUCAACCGUAAAAUUGCAAUUGAUACUGGCAGUCUUGAGUACAGUUGAGGUAGGCGGAAUUCGUGGUGUAGCGGUGAAAUGCUUAGAUAUCACGAAGAACCCCGAUUGCGAAGGCAGCUUACUAAACUGUGACUGACAUUGAUGCUCGAAAGUGUGGGUAUCAAACAGGAUUAGAUACCCUAGUAGUC
rnacentral:rRNA from 1 species